rnacentral:ncRNA from 2 species
UGCUUUCUUCAGGGCGGGGUGCAAGUCCCCACCGGCGGUGACAGCCCGCGAACCCCGAGAGGGGCCGAACCGGUGAAAUCCCGGUGCCGACGGUAAGAGUCCGGAUGGGAGAAGGAAGGU